AUUGAACGCUGGCGGCAGGCCUAACACAUGCAAGUCGAGCGAGCGGCGGACGGGUGAGUAAUGUCUGGGAAACUGCCUGAUGGAGGGGGAUAACUACUGGAAACGGUAGCUAAUACCGCAUACCAUCAGAUGUGCCCAGAUGGGAUUAGCUAGUAGGUGGGGUAAUUGUUCACCUAGGCGACGAUCCCUAGCUGGUCUGAGAGGAUGACGAACCACACUGGAACUGAGACACGGUCCAGACUCCGACGUGAUGUAGCAGUGGGGAAUAUUGCACAAUGGGCGCAAGCCUGAUGCAGCCAUGCCGCGUGUGUGAAGAAGGCCUUCGGGUUGUAAAGCAAUUUCAGCGGGGAGGCGUUACCCGCAGAAGAAGCACCGGCUAACGCCGUGCCAGCAGCCGCGGUAAUAC
rnacentral:rRNA from 1 species